CCAGUGAAAUGAAGAAUUUGGGCCAGAGGUGUCCACCUGACUGAAAACGAUCCUCGUACACACGCCUAUCAGCCAGUGGCGUGAUCUGUCUCACCACCCUCUGUGGGCAAUGCACGUUUUGUAAUCAAGGAUCCUGACAGGAGGCUCCUGAAAGCAAGGGGUCAUGAUCCACAGGAUAAGAACCACUGCUGUAGAACAUUUUCUUAAUUAGUAAUUGAUAUGGAAUGGCCUAACCCACUGAAGGUGAUGCCCAACUCUGGGCUGGUGAUCCUGGGUUCUACAAGAAAGUAAGCUGAGCAAGCCACGAGGAGCAAGUCAGUA